UCCGGUUUGGCACCGGCAGUCCUCCCAGAGUCCUCGGCAUAACCCGGUAGCACCUGUGCUGGUACCCGACUCUACGGGUCGCCGACCCUUUCGGGCGACUACUGCCAGCAUGUCAAACCCCGGUAAGGUUCUUCGCUUUGCAUCGAAUUAAGCCACGCGCUCCGCCGCUUGUGCGGGCCCCCGUCAAUUCCUUUGAGUUUUAGCCUUGCGGCCGUACUCCCCAGGCGGGGUGCUUAAUGCGUUAGCUGCGGCACGGAAGUCUUGCGACCCCCACACCUAGCACCCACCGUUUACGGCUAGGACUAC
rnacentral:misc_RNA from 1 species